CAUGCAAGUCGAACGCUCACCUUCGGGUGGGAGUGGCAGACGGGUGAGUAACACGUUGGAACGUACCCUUUGGUUCGGGACAACUCUGGGAAACUGGAGCUAAUACCGGAUACGCCCUUUUGGGGAAAGGUUUACUGCCGAAGGAUCGGCCCGCGUCUGAUUAGCUAGUUGGUGGGGUAACGGCCUACCAAGGCGACGAUCAGUAGCUGGUCUGAGAGGAUGAUCAGCCACACUGGGACUGAGACACGGCCCAGACUCCUACGGGAGGCAGCAGUGGGGAAUAUCGGACAAUGGGCGCAAGCCUGAUCCAGCCAUGCCGCGUGAGUGAUGAAGGCCUUAGGGUUGUAAAGCUCUUUUAUCCGGGACGAUAAUGACGGUACCGGAGGAAUAAGCCCCGGCUAACUUCGUGCCAGCAGCCGCGGUAAUACGAAGGGGGCUAGCGUUGCUCGGAAUCACUGGGCGUAAAGGGCGCGUAGGCGGCGUUUUAAGUCGGGGGUGAAAGCCUGUGGCUCAACCACAGAAUGGCCUUCGAUACUGGGACGCUUGAGUCUGGUAGAAGUUGGUGGAACUGCAUG
rnacentral:rRNA from 1 species